ensembl:lncRNA
CCCCAACCCGGGCUCAUGGGGUCAUAUGGGUCUCAGGGUCAUGGGGUCACACGGCCAGGGGGUCGUGGGGUCUCAGGGUCACAUGGUCUCAGGGUCACACGGUCACAGGGUCAUAGGGUCACGGGGUCACAGGGUCAUGGGGUCACAGGGUCACAUGGUCUCAGGGUCACAGGGUCACAGGGACAGGGGGUCACGUGCUCACAGGGUCAUAUGGUCUCAGGGUCAUGGGGUCACAGGGUCACAUGGUCCUGGGGUCACAGGGUCACAGGGACAUGGGCUCACGGGCUCAUUCGGUCAUGUGGUCUCAGGGUCACGUGGUCACAGGGUCAUGGGGUCAUGGGGUCACAGGGUCACAUGGUCACAGGGUCUCAGGGUCAUGGGGUCCCAGGGUCCCAGGGUCCCAGGGACAUGGGCUCACGGGCUCACUGGGUCAUAUGGUCUCAGGGUCACGGGGUCACAUGGUAACAUGGUCAUGGGGUCACAUGGUCACAUGGCCACAUGGUCCCAGGGUCACAGGGUCACAGGGACAUGGGCUCACGGGCUCACAGGGUCAUAUGGUCUCAGGGUCACAGGGUCAAAUGGUCAUGGGGUCACACGGCCACACGGUUGCGGGGUCUCAGGGUCAAAUGGCCUCAGGGUCACAUCGUCACAGGGUCAUGGGGUCACAUGGUCACAGGGACAUGGGGUCACAUGGUCACGGGGUCACAGGGUCAUAUGGUCACAGAGUUACAAAAUCAUAUGGUCAUGGGGUCAUAUGGUCACAUGGUCACGGGUCACAUGGUCCCGGGGUCCCAGGGUCCCAGGAUCACAGGGUCCUGGGGUCACCGGGUCAUAUUGUCAUGGGGUCACAUGGGCUCAGGGUCAUGGGGCCACACGGUCCCAGGGUCACAUGGUCACAGGGACAUGGGGUCACAGGCUCACUGCGUCAUAUGGUCUCAGGGUCAUGGGGUCACAUGGUAACAUGGUCAUGGGGUCACAUGGACACACGGUCAUGGGGUCACAGGGUUACGGGGUCACAAGGUCACAGGGACAUGGGCUCACGGGCUCACUGGGUCAUAUGG